rnacentral:lncRNA from 1 species
UGUAGAAAUAAACUGUUUCCAGUCCCCUGGACACCCGCAGUAUUCAGAAGAGUAGCUGAAGGUGCUGCAAAGUUAUUCAUCUCAGAGGGAUGCUGACCCAGAUGAAAAAACAGAGGCCCAGAAAGUGAAAAUAACUCCCUUAAAGGCACAAAGGUAGUACUGCUGAAUUCAUAUACCAGCUCCAACAACUACUAGCUGUGUGACCUUAGGUGAAAACAAAAGGAGAAGAUGGCCAUCUGCAAACCAGAUCCAGACACCGGAUCUGCUAGCACCUAGAUCUUGGACUUCCCAGUCUCUAGGACUGUGAGAAAUAUAUGUUUGUUGUUUAAGCCACCCAUUCUAUGGUAUUUUUAUUAAAGCAGCCCAAACUGACUAAGAUAUCCAGUCUGUGCAAGUGAAAAAUCUCUUCUCCUUACCUUAUAUGAAAAAUGAAAUGCCAUGGAUUAGUGAGUUAGUUCAACUACUCAGAUUACCUGAAUUUUUCAUGUUCCAAGACUUGUAGAUUACAUCUAGAGACAGAGACAGCAUUACUGGAAUUUGUACACCACAGGUACAAUGUGAACUCUGGACUUGAGAAAUU